AGCUCGCUCUAGUAUGUAAGUGUUGUUCUCGCACGCGCGCGCGCACGUACGCAUGUAACCGCCAAUUGCAAUAUUUGAAAAAAGAACCCGAUCAACCACUGUUUUGCUGUUCAGAAGUCCGUCUAUAAUUCAUCAUAAACUAAAGGAACACAGGUCAGAUUCGGACAACGACUUCAAAUUCAUUCGCAGAAUACGCUAAACAAUUGGACGACGGAUACACUGGAUGAUAAUAUAGAUGGUCCAGGAUUAUCUGGGAAGGAAACUACAGGUGUUGAACACAGAAAACCGUUUACAAGAAAACAACUGGAGUUUGUGAAAGCUGCAAGAUAUUAAUCUUGCCGGGUACGCAUUCACUUCACCUUGGUCGAGUGCAGCACAGUGGAUAAAUGUGUUGCUGAAGGAAAACACCAUUGCUAGGAUUCAAACCCACGACACUCUGUUGAAAGGUGAGAGUCAGAACCACUAGACCACGACGCACCCACAGUUAACAAGCUGAUGUCAUACUCCCACUUGUUCUUUUGUAUUUUAUAACAAGAAGUCAUGUUUAUUCAUAUUUUGACCUCCAAGAACUAAAAAGUGGAGUGAAGAUUUAUUUAAUGUAAACACAUGCAUUGCUUGAAAUCAUUUUAUGCUACGUGGGACAUAUCAUACACACGUGUACGAAAAUAUGAAAUUAUUAUGAUUUCAUUUUAUAACAUAAGCCUAACACAUAUUCCUGACGAUCAUGUGCACAUUCCAGUAAUUUUUCCCAAAAUGUUGCUAAACCUUCAAAUCAAAGACUUUGUUAUCAGAUUUUAACGAAAUUGUCAACAUUAUGCUUUUCUGAUUAAUUCUCUUCCUACCUAAAUCUUCCCUUUCCUCAUGCUUUCUUUCUAUGGACCCUUCAUUCUCCUUAUAACUAUGUUAUAUGUAAAAUGUAACCGGUCGUCCAACCCAUUUGAUUGAAGGGCUAGGUACUCUAGACUGAAAGUUAUGUGAUUUAAAUUCAAAGAGUACAUCAGACAAAAAAAAACACUGAAAAUUUCAUCAAAAUUGAAUGAGGAUUAACAAAAUUAUGACGAAUUAAAGUUGUUAUUUUUUUAUAAAACUGUUCUCUGCAAGUCCUCAUGAAUAUACAAGAUCCCAAUUUAUAUAUUUUUUUGUAUUAUAUGAAUUCAAAUUUUGUCCAAGCUAGGUUGUAAAAAAUUACGAUUGACUACUGAUAUACUGUGUAAGACAAAAAUUAUAUUAUUUCUCACACAUAGUUGAGUUAUUCAUCUGAUUCAACACAACAAAAAUAGACAAAAAAUAAAUAAGUGGGAAUCUUGUAUAUUUGAACUAUGGGAAAUAGUUAAAAAAUAGAUGUGCUACUAAGAAUUAUUUUCUAUAUGAUUUGCAAAAUAUUAAAAAAAGAUGUCGCUAUUUUUCUUGUUUUUUUU